AUGUCGAUCUUGCUGAGCGCAUCAACGUGCACAGCGGAGUCGGAGCAGGGGGAGCACUUGUUCAAGAUCUCCGAUUACAGCAUUCACAGGGGCAUGGGCGUCGGCUGCUACAUCGAGUCGUCCUGGUUCACCGUUGGCGGCCAUGACUGGUGCCUCCACUAUUACCCGGACGGAUAUACGGAAGAUGGCAAGGACGACAUGGUGGUCGGUCUGGAGCUGAUGGAGCUGCGCGGGAAGGCAUUCCCGCCGCGGGUAUCCUCCACAAUCAGCUUGCUCCACUGGGCAACCAAGCGGGUUUCUCUUUCUUCGUCGGUGGCCAUGUCGGCCAAUCUUCCCGAUCCGAACUACUUUGUCACGCACAACAUAAACAGGGGCGAGAUGGAAGCAUCGGGCUAUGUUGUUGACGAUCGUCUCACUAUCAAAUGCGCCGUGACCGUCAUCAAGGAGCCAUAUGUUUUCGAGGCGGAGGCCCAGGUGCCGGUACCACCGUCGGAAAUCGCGGGCCAACUCGGGAAGCUGCUAGAGACAAAGGAGGGCGCGGAUGUGACAUUCGAGGUCCAAGGAGAGAAAUUCCCGGCCCACAAGCUCGUGCUGGCGGUGCGGUCUCCGGUUUUCAAGGCCAUGCUCUACGGGCCGAUGAUGGAGAAGGAUUCAAGCCGCAUCGUCAUUGCCAACAUGCAACCCGAUGUCUUCAAGUUUCUCUCUACUUCAUCUAUAACGAUUCGUUGCCUUUCCCUCAAAAAAAAUUAA
rnacentral:rRNA from 1 species